UACGUAGGGUGCAAGCGUUGUCCGGAAUUAUUGGGCGUAAAGAGCUCGUAGGCGGUCUGUCGCGUCGGAUGUGAAAAUCCAGGGCUUAACCCUGGACCUGCAUUCGAUACGGGCAGACUAGAGUUCGGUAGGGGAGACUGGAAUUCCUGGUGUAGCGGUGAAAUGCGCAGAUAUCAGGAGGAACACCAAUGGCGAAGGCAGCUCGCUGGGACGUGACUGACGCUGAGACGCGAAAGCGUGGGGAGCAAACAGG
rnacentral:rRNA from 1 species